UGCCAGCCGCCGCGGUAAUACGGAGGGUGCAAGCGUUGUCCGGAUUUAUUGGGUUUAAAGGGUGCGUAGGCGGAUAUAUAAGUCAGUGGUGAAAUCUUGCGGCUCAACCGUAAAACUGCCAUUGAUGCUGUAUAUCUUGAGUACGGUCGAGGUGGUUGGAAUGCGUAGUGUAGCGGUGAAAUGCUUAGAUAUUACGCAGAACGCCGAUUGCGAAGGCAGAUCACUAGACCGGAACUGACGCUGAGGCACGAAAGCGUGGGGAGCGAACAGGAUUAGAUA
rnacentral:rRNA from 1 species